AUGAAGUAACAACAUUAAACAACACUGACAAGAACUGCUGCAUCACGACAGCAACUGCAGUAUCACAACAGGUUACCAAAAGCAGGUUUGUCAUAUAACGCAUUGAUGCAAUAUGAAAGAUCAAAGUUUACAUAUUUUUCCUUAUUUGUGAUAGGAUGUUUGAUUGUAUUUUUUUCGUAUUA